AAGCAAUUUGCUCAUAGCCAUAGCUUUCUUGUGAAAGUAGGAUAUUAACCCAGGUGUCUUGGUGCUGGAGAACAGAACUGGCCAGAGUCCAUCCUGUCUCCCACCGGCAUCCCAUUACGAAAUGAACACAGAAAAGGCAGGUCUGCAAUGCCAACAUCUAGUAUCUAUCCCAAAGACCAGGGAGAAAGGAAGGAAAGAUUCUGGUUCUGUCCUCUUCCCCAAGGCAAGGCUGGCUGCCCUACCAACAGAGGCAAAGAGAAGAGUGUGCAAGGCUGGCUGCCCUCCCAACAGAGGCAAAGAGGAGUGUGUGUUGAAAUAUCCAUUGAAUCCCUGAGACAACUGGAUCCUGGCCCAUUGAAUCAUAAACUCAUUUCAGAGAAGAUGAAACUGAUGUGCGUCAAAAAGCUGGUAGUCUGUCAAGGAAAUGAGCUGAACAUGUCUGUGUACAGCUUUUGUGCCAUCCCUGGAUGAGCGAGCUGUCUGCCUCUAUGUUCUCCACAAAAUGGAAUAUAGCUGUACACCCAAGCCAAGUUAUGGAGGCUGGGAAGACCUAGAAUGUGGCAUCACUAUUUGCUGAAAUUUUUAAUAUAAUGCCUCUUAGCCUGGUUUGGAGAAAACGUCACAGAGAGGCACCAUUUGUUGUGGUUUUACAUGAAAAUUUUCUGACCCUGAACCUGGUUUGAUGGAAAUCAUUUGCUGAGGAAACCAUGCCGAUUACCGACCGAGCUCUCAAUGGAAAAAUGCAGUCGGCGUGAACCACGCACGAACACAGCAGAGAAAGAAGAAAACACACACCACGAGGAACCCUAAUAGGACAAUACAUUAUAAGCCUCAUGGUACAUCCACUUGGUGUGCUGGGAGAGUCAGGAUGAGGACCUGAGAAGAACAGCAGCUUGAACCUGACUUCAUUUAACAGCCCACUGCCCUCUUGCCAAGAACCCAUCACAGACCUUCCCAGAAGAGAGGGAUGAGCCUCACCUAUGAAUAAGUCCUCAGAAACUCAAAUUUGAUUCUAAUGGAUUGUUUUCUCAGAAAGACUGAGCAUGUCCCCCCACAUCUCUGUCAUUUCCCACAGUAGUAACCUCUGCAGAUGCCACAUAGAAAACAAAACAAAACAAAAAAACAUGAGGUUGGUGGGCAGAUAGGCAGGGUAUAAACAAACAGCCUUGUAACCCAGAAGCUGUGUGAUAUACAGUAAACUUCACAACACUGAAAAGAUGUCCUAUCUGUUAAAAUGGGGUAAUAACAACUACCCGAAUGUUUAGGAAUAGAACUUCAAUAAAUGAUACAUUUUAUAGUACAGCAGACCAUCCUGUAAAGGUUUCAUCCUUCACUGUGGUGAUAAAUAUCCCAAACCACAUUGAAAAGCAUUGCAUCUACAUUUAUCUACACUGUAACUGUACUGUAAAUCAUGGGGGAGGGGAGAAUCAUAAAAACACCACCUGUCACCGUGUCAUUAAAGCAAGUUGGAAGUGAUACUUACAGAAACACAGCAAGAGCACCCCCAGUCACACAGUUCAAUCUCUUAGCAAGCGUUUUCUUUCUAGCCCAGUGGUUCUCAGUUUGGAAUUUUUGGCACUGCCUAGAGAUAGUUUUGUUGUUAAAACUGAGAAAAGAGCCGGGCGUGGUGGCACACGCCUUUAAUCCCAGCACUCAGGAGGCAGAGGCAGG
rnacentral:lncRNA from 1 species